UACGAGGGGGGCAAGCGUUGUUCGGAAUUAUUGGGCGUAAAGGGUGCGUAGGUGGGUCUGUAAGUCAGUGGUGAAAUCUCCGGGCUUAACCCGGAAACUGCCAUUGAUACUAUAGGUCUUGAAUAUCCUGGAGGUGAGCGGAAUAUGUCAUGUAGCGGUGAAAUGCUUAGAUAUGACAUAGAACACCAAUUGCGAAGGCAGCUCACUACGGGAUUAUUGACACUGAGGCACGAAAGCGUGGGGAUCAAACAGG
rnacentral:rRNA from 1 species